UACGUAGGUGGCAAGCGUUGUCCGGAAGUAUUGGGCGUAAAGCGCGCGCAGGCGGUUCCUUAAGUCUGAUGUGAAAGCCCCCGGCUCAACCGGGGAGGGUCAAUGGAAACUGGGGAACUUGAGUACUGAAGAGGAAAGCGGAAUUCCACGUGUAGCGGUGAAAUGCGUAGAGAUGUGGAGGAACACCAGUGGCGAAGGCGGCUUUCUGGUCAGUAACUGACGCUGAGGCGCGAAAGCGUGGGGAGCAAACAGG
rnacentral:misc_RNA from 1 species